UACGUAGGGUGCGAGCGUUGUCCGGAAUUAUUGGGCGUAAAGGGCUCGUAGGCGGUCUGUCGCGUCGAAAGUGAAAACUCAGGGCUUAACCCUGAGCCUGCUUCCGAUACGGGCAGACUAGAGGUAUGCAGGGGAGAACGGAAUUCCUGGUGUAGCGGUGAAAUGCGCAGAUAUCAGGAGGAACACCGGUGGCGAAGGCGGUUCUCUGGGCAUUACCUGACGCUGAGGAGCGAAAGUGUGGGGAGCGAACAGG
rnacentral:rRNA from 1 species